rnacentral:rRNA from 1 species
GAGUUUGAUCAUGGCUCAGAUUGAACGCUGGCGGCAUGCCUUACACAUGCAAGUCGAGCGGCAGCAUGAUCUAGCUUGCUAGAUUGAUGGCGAGUGGCGAACGGUGAGUAAUACAUCGGAACGUGCCCUGUAGUGGGGGAUAACUAGUCGAAAGAUUAGCUAAUACCGCAUACGACCUGAGGGUGAAAGUGGGGACCGCAAGGCCUCAUGCUAUAGGAGCGGCCGAUGUCUGAUUAGCUAGUUGGUGGGGUAAAGGCCCACCAAGGCGACGAUCAGUAGCUGGUCUGAGAGGACGAUCAGCCACACUGGGACUGAGACACGGCCCAGACUCCUACGGGAGGCAGCAGUGGGGAAUUUUGGACAAUGGGCGAAAGCCUGAUCCAGCAAUGCCGCGUGUGUG